CGCGCCUAGAGGGGUAAAGCUUCCGGGUUAGGCGGCGUGAGGUGUCGCGUCACGUGGUUGAGGCCGAAGAGGCUGACAGGAGCCGGGAGGAGAUCGUCCCUCUCGCCGCCGCUGCCUUACCAUGAGGCGGCCGUUCAGCCGCCGAACCCUUGAACGGAUCUACUCUGUGGUGCUUAUUACAGUUGUGUUACUUUCAUGGGGAUAUGUUAUCUAUGCAACAAGACUAGCAGCUCACUGGGAGCUAGAAAAGGAAGACUUCAGUAUGAAGGAAGCUGGAGAACCACCCCGAGCUUAACACAUCUUCUGUACCUUGGUCAGUAAAGUUCGUUUCAGAAUAUGCCUUUAUAGUUACAUAGCAUCGUAAUAAAAAGUACUAUAACAUGUU